GUAAACACGGUGUAGCCGCGAGGAGUACGGUAAGACGAGUGGAGAACAGAGCGUCUAAAAGGGCGCCGAAGAUUUUUUCCCUUACGAUUUCAAAAUGCGAAAAUUUUUCUGUGGAUCAGGGGUUUUCAAGAAGAAAAGGCGUGAUCAGCUCAGCUCAGACGGACAUCCAGACAACCAGGAAAACAAAGUGGAAGAAUACUCAACCACUGUGAAUGGAGAGCCAUCAGAAACAACCACUAACCUGGUGGUCCAAGAAACGACUCAAGGAACAGAAAACACUGUAGAAUCACCACCACCAAGGGAAAAAAGGAGCCCCGAAAAGGCGACGAUGUACAAGACAUGUGCUUCAAUAGAACUUAAUGGAGGUUUAGAACCCUUGGAGAAUGCAAAUGAUGUUACUUCGUUAUCCACUACGUCAAGCUCCAAUGGGUCCUGUGCAACUACCGUUGUCGCCAACACCGGCCACAAGGGGUCUCCGCGAUGUGAUGAACGAGCUGAUACGCCCAACGCAAAGUGGAACAAUAGUAAUUUACAGACAUCUAACAAAGAAGAAAAUGGUGUUCAGAAGGAUCAGAAGCAGGAAGAAGAUCUGAAAUUAGCAUCGUCUUCUCCUAAGAACUACUCGCCAGUUAAGGUCACUGUUUCUAGCUCUAAUAGAAAAGUAUGGACGCCUGGACAACCGACGCCGUGUGUUUCCACGGAAACAGUAAGUCAAGCGAUGAGACAUCAAGAUGAAAAGUCUGAGCUUAUGGAUGCGUCUCCCGUGUGGCAGCCGUUUGGAGGGGGGCCAGAUGAAAAACCGCAGUUUAAGAGCGUAAAAAUGCCCACAGUUGGUAUAAAGACGGAAAAUGUUAAAAACCAAAUACCUCAAAAUGAGUCAUCCCCUAGUUAUAAUGGUUAUUAUGCACAAAAGAAGCUAGAAACACCAUCACAUCCAUCAUCGUUAUCACUAUCCAGUGUUUCUUCCAAUAUCUCGCUGCAGGAGGAUUCUGUGAGAAAUGUACAAUUACAGUCUCAAGAGCCAAAUCUUGAACAACCUUCCUGUUCAGCCUCAGAACAACAAACUACAGAAACCUCAACACUUGUUUCAGGAGGAAGCAAAAGUUCUAGAUUACCUCCAUCUGAAAAUCCGACUAUCACACUUCUGAAAAAAGCUCGAGAGGGCCAGUUACCUAAAGGGGCACUGUACAUAGAUCCUAAAAUACAUUCUCAAGAUGCACAAAAUAAAUCUGAACUGGUUGACCAGAGUGGAACAUUUAAUGGAGACAACAUCUCCAGAGACAUGUACAAUUAUAUUAAUAAAUCUCAGGACAUUAUCUCUACAGAAGAUAGAACAAAUUAUGAUAAUUUUGGUCCACAAAAAAAAGGGGUUCCUGUUCGUCCUCACUCUGAAAAGAAACAUAAAAGUAGGAGGGUUCAAGAUCAGUAUAUUAAUGACUGGUACAGAGCUAUGUACAGAUCUCUGCACAGAUUGGAAGAGUUAGAAGGUGAUUAUACAACUGUGAAAUACAGCAGAGGAAAAGGGAGAGUUCCUCGUGCAGGAGGUUAUGUGUCUGAACCUGAUUAUGAUUUAGAAGAUUCAUUUACAUAUGGCACAAAAUAUGCAACCUACACACAUCGCUCUAAACCAGAGAGAAGUCGAGGACCAAAAACGGAAGGAAUUACACGUGAGAAGCAAUAUUUUGAAUCACCUCGUACUUCACCUGUGUCAAGAUCAUGCCAAGAAGUGUACAAAAAUCAGCCACACAGUAUAGCAGAUUAUGAACCUGGACGUUCUUCCAUUGCACAGAGAGAGGCAAUAUUGUUUUGGGCAGAUUUCUGGAGAGAAAUUGAUCGACUGGAAGAUGAAGUCUACAAUGAAGAGCAUAAACAAAGGUCUUCUUUUCACCAAGAACAUUGGCCAAAACAAUCCUUUGCCUUCCCUGAUGGUUAUGAAAGUGAUUCCACAUUAUUAAGGAAGACAGGGAAACCUCACACUUUAAAUCCCCAACAGCAGAAAGCAUGGUAUAGACAGAUUCAACGUGGAGGAGAGGUUCCUUUCACAGGUCUUGGGAAACCAGCCCCUGAGAAACCCAGAGCUCCUGCUCAUCGUUACCAGGAGUCAGAAGUAAAUAUCCACUACCGAAGUCCUGUAAGAAAUUUGGAAAAAGAUUAUAUUGAGGAAAAAGAGCUUCAGAGAAAACAAGAAGAUGCAAUGAGAAAAUUCUAUGAAGAGGAAAGAUACAAAAAACAACUUCAUCAGCUGGAAGAAAUGGAACAGCGUCGUCAUAGUGACAACUUUAUUCCUUCCCAGAAAUCUCCAAUCCCAUUAAAUCGUUAUGAAGAUCCAUUUGGUCCUCCAGCAUCUCCCUUGCCAAUAUCUCCUGAACUUCGAACUAUGGCUCGAGCAUUAUACAAUUUCAAGGCACAGACAGCUAAAGAGCUCACCUUGAAGAAGGGAGACUUCGUUUUCAUAAAUAAGAAAAUAGACAAAAAUUGGUACUUGGGUGAACAUCACGGAAUGGUUGGAAUAUUUCCUGUCAAUUAUGUUGAGCUGAUACCACAAGAAAUAGCUCAUAUCCAAACUCCCAAGAUGACUGGUGAGGGACAAGGUCGAGCUAAGUAUAAUUUCUAUGCUCAGACACCAUUGGAACUUCCACUAUACAAGGGACAAGAAUUGCUGUUGAUUCGAAGAGUAGACCAAAAUUGGUAUGAAGGUAGAAUUGGGAACAGCAGAGGGAUUGUUCCAGUGGCAUACAUUGAGGUGCUAAAAGAACCUGAUAUUUCAGCAAGAUCUUCAGUUUCUUUCAAGCCUCCACUUAGUUCUAUAAAUUCUAGUGGUCCAAUUACAAAUGGAACUCAUAGUUUGGACAAGGCGCCAGCUUACAAUAAAAACCAACAAUCACAAGAUCGUCAACGAUCCUCAGAAAGUCAUUAUCCUAUGCUGGUCUCAAGAGACUUAAAACAGACAAGGAGGGUUAAUGAAGUUAGAAAAGAACUAUACAGAGUUCUGUACUCAUACAGACCACAAAAUGAAGAUGAACUGGAACUUCAAGAGGGAGACAUAGUUUAUGUAAUGGAAAAGUGUAAUGAUGGAUGGUAUGUGGGGACUUGUGUUAGGACAGGGCUAUUAGGGACUUUCCCAGGAAACUAUGUUGAGAGGAUUUAGCUGGAACAUAAAUUCAAGGUAACUGUCUUGAACAAGUUGGAAAAACAUUUAAUAAAAGUGGGCUUCACAAACUCAGUAUGUAUAAAGCUUGCAUGAUUGCUUCCAGAAGAACAAUCAACUGUGUUAAUAAUUUGUCUUCUAUUACCUUGUGUUUUUUUUUAACUCUUGCAUCAGAGAACUUAAAAACCUAGGUAAAUAUAAGCUUCUGUAUAUUACCAUAAAUAUGUUAGAAAUUUAAACUAGAAUUUGUUUGUUUGUGUGUUAGACAAAGAGGGUACUAAAAUCUGAGCUUAAAUGAGAAGAACGUUUUAUUUGUCUGACUGUUGUACUAAGAUCUGUAUUGUAAGUAAUCUUCUGAGAACGUUGUUAAUUGUAUUUUUCAAUAAUAAGAAAAUAUAUAAUUUCAUUAAAAAACAAGCCUACAAAAGGUGCCUUUUGGUAUAGGUUAUGAAAAAGAGCAUGUAAAUUUAAAAAGUUAUUUAAAAAGCCAAAGAUAAAUCAUUUGCAGUUAUAUUAAUGUAAAGAUACCUUUUAUACACCAUACCUGUUAAAAUAUUUGUUGCUUAAUUCAAUAUUAUUUAAAAAGGUAAAGAAAAAGACUACAAAAAAAUUACUAUGAUGGUGAGAACAAAUUAUUAUAUAUAUUUUAAACUAGUCUACUUUACACAAUUGCAAAUUUUAUGCCUUACUAGGUUUCCGUUUCAUAGAAUUACACAAAAUAUAAAUUUAUAAUGACAGUCAUUACUUAAGAAAAAAGUCAGAAGAUUCUAGUUAUACACAGAGAAAAUUAGCUAAUAAUUUUGUAAUGUUAUUUGUGCUUCAAGCUAGUCACUAUUAUUGCAAUAAUAUACAAUCAACAAAUAAAAUUUGUUAAAGGUCCACUAAAUGGAAACAAAACUUCCUUCUGUGUCAAAAAUGAAAAUUAUUAAUAUAAAAACAUGAUAUAUUUUGGAUAGAAAUGAGCCAAAUGCUGUAUAUAUGUUUAUUGAACUUGAGGAAUGUUUUCUUCUAAAUUCUAUGUAGAAUUCUAUAUUUCAUGUUUCUGGUUUUAGAGACAAUGUAAUAUAAAAAUUAUGUUGGCUGUUACUGUGUAGAAUUCUGUAGGAAAAUGGAAUAAAAAUCUGGAAAUAAACACAAAA